ACUAUGCUUAAGGUUAGAGAAGAACAAUUAUACUUCUGGUUCUGUUGGUGUUUUCCACCAAUAGGGCCCAUGCACUUGAUCUCUGCCUUGUCUUUAUGAACAGGUACACUUCAAGUAAAACAUGGAGGAGUUUUACAACUCCCAGACUCCACCAAGUGAAGGACCUGGAUCUAUGAGCACAAACACACUGAGCAGGAUAUUGCCAACACCGCACUUCGAACUGCUAGGCAAUCAAAGACAGUGAGAAGUCUUGUCCAGAAGAUUUAAAACUUUGGAUCCUUGUCAGAGGAGGUCAAGAUCGUCGACUCAAGUUACCUUUCUUGAUCAAGAAGGACGACCCUGGUGUUCCAAGCAUUGAGUGCACAAUCAACAGAUACUCUUUUUAGAAGACACUCUACGACACCGGAUCUAACGUCAACAUAAUGGCCGCAGUCACUUAUCAGCUCCUGCAUGGAACCAUGCCCCUACAACCAAUAUAUAUUCAGCUCCAGAUGACUUUCAGAUCAUUGACAUAGGAGAAGACGAGUACGAUCCACCCAUCAUCCUUGGAAGACCAUUCCUCAACACUAUCAAAGUUAUCAUCUACAUUGGAAUCGGAGAAGUCCACGUGUACUUCGCCUCUGAGAAGGUACACCGCUAUUUUACUGACCCUAACUAUAUAGUUGAAGACUCUAAGCAGGUCAGGACAAGAAGAAGACAACACAACCGCAACCAGAGGAGGCAAAUCAUCAAGGACAGAUGGGUAGACUACGAGGGAGAAGUGAUAAGGUCUAAAGACAUAUAGCUUGAACAAAACUGUCCUGAGGAGACCGUAGCACCGAGUCAGGUGUGGAGAGAGAAGAUAGUUAUACACGAAGAGGAGGCGCCACCGGAAUCACUGACUAUGCCACCCAGCGAAUCCCAGCACGACUGAGAAAACAGAGAGUCCCGUUCGGAGGACUUAAAAACACCGACCGCCUUGCCAAGAGGUAAACUUGGUAGUUAUCCUUUUCCCUUCAAUUAUUUUGUUUAGUUUAUUAGGUUCAUAUCAUCUCGAAAAGAAAAUAAAAAUGUUAAAAAUAGUAAGCCCCAUGUGAGUAGACUUGUGGUUUAAAAACCCAUAGGUAUAUUGACUGUGGUGGCAUAAAAUAAAUAUGUUUUCAUCUUACAAUAAAAAAAUAUAAAUAAUAAGUGCAUGAUCUUGCUAAAUAAAUAAUAAUUAUUAAGGAGUCUCAACAUGAUAAAGGCUAGAUAUUUAUGCUAACACUUAAUCAGUUCCACAAGCUUUGUUGUCUAUUUGAGCUCCACAGGAUUUAAGAAUCAAGAAGACUAGCAGACGGAGGACAUUUUAAUCGCUGUGAGAAUGCUGCUGACUUUCAAAUACACCUCUGCCACCUGCUAACUACCUCAAGAGAAAUUACGUCAAAAUUCAUCUUGGGGGAGAGCACCCCCAUUUAUCCCGAUAAGUAUUUCUAUCUAUCUAUCUAUCUAUCUAUCUAUCUUUAUACUUAUACUAUAUUAAAAUAUAAAUAUACAUAAACCAGGAAAAACCAAAUAAAGAUUUUAUGCUUAUAUAUAUAUCUUUGCUUAGUUUGCUAAAUAAAUAAAUAAAUAAAGUUUGCUAUGAACCCUCAUGAUAAGCUCUCACAUGGAAAUGAUAAAUAGUUGCUCUGCCAUGACUAGUUCUUAAAAUUGAAAUAUCUCUCAAGUUUAGGCAUAAUUGUUAUAAUUUAAACCUGCUCUAAACCUAACUUGUGGGAAGAGUACUUGAUCUAAAGUCUAAGUCGUUAACGGAUAUGAUAUGGGAAGGUUGAGCUACUGUUUAUUUGUUCCUAGAGAUGCUAGAAUUCUGGAGAAUUUUAUCUUCGAAAAUCUUUAAAAUAACACAUGAUGAGUUCCUGUAUGAUGAGAGUUUAAAUUCCUACCACAGCCAUAUAUACAUGCUUGCUAGACUUUGAGCCACACAUUUACUUUUUACUGCUUAUGAGCAUUGAGUAUGGUCAAGCUGUGUAGACCCUUAGGAGCUUGUCAUGUAGUUAAAAUCAAGACUCACUUGCAUGUUCACUCGUAUAUGCUGCUUCUAUUCCGGAAGUACGCAUCCACAUACAUCCACUCAUUUCCAUCUCUAGAUUCACCCAAAAUUAUUCUACUCCUAAUCCGAGAGAGAAUAGCCAAAAACAAUUUCCUAUCCCUGUUAUUCCCUGCGAAAUAAAUGCUCCAGUUAUUUUGGUUACUACCACUUGCUACAUUAUUUCAGGAGAUGAGUGCUCUAAAAAAAAGAAGAAAAAAAAUAAUAUACGAGGAAAUAAAAAGGGGCAAGUGCCCGGAACCUCGAAGAAAAGAAAAAGUGAGACGAGAGGUAAAAAUGGACAAGUGUCCGACAGUAGAAUUAGGGGUACAAGAUACCCACCUGAGAGGAAGAAAAAGAAAAUAUAGAGCAUCUCAUUCUCCUAAAAAAGCUUCAAAGUGCAAGAAAGGUAUGUAUCCCCUUAAAAGAGCAAAAGUAGAAUUAGACUUUCACCAUUGUUAUCACCAUCAUCACCAUACACCAUUCACUCGCCACACAUGCACAUCUUGAUUUGACUUAUUGACUUGUUUCUCUGGAUCCAUGGUUUGACUAUGCAAUAAAUGUCUUUUAAGUAUGUAUUAGCUGUCUCCCACCUAUGAGCUCCAGAUAUCAAAACCUUAUUAGAGAGAAGGCAAUAUCACUAUACCUCAUACCACAAAUACUACAUACUUUGAGAGAAGGCAUAUACCAUUACUGCCUUGGUAAGGAUCCAGAAAUACCACAAAAGAGAGAUCUAAGAGAGUCAUACAAGGAAUCUCUGUGUUUUAUUUGAAAAUCUGCAAAAACUCCAGAGCUAUAGCUGAUCAAGAAUAAGAGACAUGGCGCUUGACUUGACCGUUCUAUCUUUUAACUACUCAAGACACAAGACGGUUACAAGCCCCAUGGUGAAAGGUAAAAUGAGUAAGUUUUAAGUCUUAACAGUUUAUUCUAACUCAGAGAUGAGAUCUUGCUUGAAUGCGUGUGUACUUUUAAGGCAUGAAACCACUGCAGAAACUCUUGAGUUCAUCCUUGCUCAGGGACGAGCAAGAGGUAAGCUUGGGGGAGUUGUUGACGGUCCUUAAGUACCAAAUAUAAUCAUCAAAUAAAUAAAGAAAAGGAAACAAAUGCAACCAACACCCAGACUUAGGGUUUUAUCUAAUAGAAUUCAAAGAGUUUUGGUGUUUGUCUAUUUCUGCAGGGGGUUAUCAGGAAAUACGGAGGAAAGGCCCACAUGUCAGGAUUACAGAGAAAUAUCAACACACCGUGCAAUUUUCUACCAUCUAGAAGACUCCAGAAGCCACGGGGAGAAAGCAGAGGCCGAAAGGGGCCAGGCCCAGGGCGCCCGCCCUCCUUCCCUGGGCGCCCGCCCUGUCCUGGACUUCGUUCGGGACUCUCUUCGCACAUGAUGUUCCACCGACCUAAAGGAUCAAGGAUAAUGUAGUACCACAUCGCCUACCGACCCAAAAACGCAUAAAGGAGGAGGACUAUAUAAGGAGACCCCCCUGGCCCCUGGAGAAGACAAGAAGUUAUCAUAGAGAUUGAGGGGUGCCCUCGAAGGAAAACCUCUUCUCUAAAUAAAAUUUCUUUUUAGGCUUAGCAACCAAUGUAAGUAGAAAUAGAUCUUCUAGUUUCUACUAGAUUGAGAGAGAUAGAGUGGAGGUGUAGAUCGGAUGAAGGCCGGCCUGUCGGUGUCUACUCCGAGUUGUACCUGCGGGAUCAAGUCUUCUAACCCGAGGCUUGCUCCUAAGAUUCUUCAGUAAUUCGACUUCUAAUUCUAGUAAGUUCUUGUUUUAUUGUUCUUUGGUUUAUGAGUUUACUUUAAUCCUCUUCCGGUUGAGUAUUAGAGUAAUCAUUGCUAGCGUAAACGUGGUGUUUAGGCUAGGGUACUCAUAGAUAUCCCCUGACUAGCUGGACCGUGGUAGUAGCGAGGAACGUGACAUUUCCGAGUUACCUUUGUAUCCCAUAUCUUGUUAGCAGGACGGGUAGGUUUAUAGGUGCGGGUCGAACAUCCUUUGUGGUGUCUAGAUUCCGUAAGCUUCCCCAAUAGAACAGUAGAUCAUCCAUACCAAGGUUAGAACGAGACUACGGUUGCAGUCUUCUCUAUACAUCACUCACAUUGAGAAACAUUCUUUGUAGCCUAAAGGGAUAGUAGCAAUAGAUUUGGUUAGUCAGAUGCACCCUUUCUCCCAGUGGUAAAAAUAUAAAUACGAUACUCUGGAUAACCUCCCGGGUGAAAUGCUCACCGAUAUCCGUGCGCUUGCGGAUCAUUUCCUGAUUGCGUUACCAAAUAUCAACACCUGCUACUGUACGUUUUGAUUCCAGAGCUUCGUAUUCUUUCAUCUCACAAGCUUUUGUUAGAGUACAUAGCAUAGCUUUAUGUGCCAUGAAAAACUCAAUGCUAGUGAAUUCACCGGGGGGUACUAUGCCAGCUAAGUAUUGGAGUCCCUCCACUAGUGUUUCUCUAAGGGGGGUAGAGUUCAAAGUAAACCCCAUUGUGCUAAGAACUUCUGGUAUUGACCUUAUCCUUGGGAUGGAUUGGAUGAAGCAACAUCGGGCAGUGAUUCAAUGCCAGGAGAAGUUUGUGGUAGUAACAUCACCUAAAGGGGAUAGAAUUUGUGUAGAAGUGGCAGUGCAAGCGCCUCCAACUGCUACCGUGAACCAGUUGACUGAUGAGGUCAAUGAGGAGAACCAAGUGGUGGAUGACUUCCCUAAUGUGUUCCCUGAUGAAUUGCCAGGUAUGCCACCUGACCGAGACAUCGAAUUCCUUAUUGAACUUUUACCUGGAACUGCACCUAUAGCUAAAAGACCUUAUAGAAUGGUAGUGAAUGAACUAGAGGAACUUAAGAAACAAAUUAAGGAGUUGUUAGAGAAGGGUUUUAUUCGUCCUAGUUCAUCACCUUGGCGAGCACCCGUUAUCUUUGUCGAUAAGAAAGAUGGUACCAGGAGAAUGUGUGUGGAUUACCGGUCACUAAAUGAAGUAACCAUAAAAAACAAGUACCCUUUGCCUAGAAUUGAUGACAUGUUUGAUUAGUUAAAAGGUGCUUGUGUGUUCUCAAAAAUAGACCUUCGAUCCGGUUAUUACCAGCUGAAAAUCCGUGCAUCGGAUGUACCUAAGACAGCUUUUACUACCAGGUAUGGCCUGUAUGAGUACACAGUUAUGUCUUUUGGGCUGACCAAUGCACCCGCAUAUUUCAUGUACCUCAUGAACAAGGUGUUCAUGGAGUUCUUGGAUAAGUUUGUAGUGGUGUUCAUUGAUGACAUACUUAUCUUUUCCAAAACUAUAGAGGAACAUGCGGAGCAUCUGAGGCUAGUCUUACAAAAGCUUAGAUAACAUAAGCUAUAUGCCAAAAGAAGCAAGUGUGAGUUUUGGCUAAAGGAGGUCUCCUUUCUAGGACAUGUGGUUUCUAAUGGAGGGAUAGCCGUGGACCCUAGCUAGGUGCAAGAUGUGUUGAAUUGGAAACCGCCGACCAAUGUGAGUGAAAUCCAUAGCUUUCUAGGAUUGGCCGGAUAUUAUAGGAGAUUCAUUGAAGGAUUCUCUAAACUUGCUAAGCCCAUGACGGCCUUAUUAGAGAAGAGUGCUAAGUUUGUUUGGUCAGACAAAUGCCAGGCUAACUUUGAGGAGUUAAAGAAGAGGUUGACCACAACUCCAGUGUUGACCUUACCUGACUUAAGCAAGAGCUUCUCCGUCUAUUGUGAUGCUUCUCGCUUAGGUUUAGGUUGUGUGCUCAUGCAAGAAGGAAGAGUAGUGGCCUAUGCAUCUAGGCAGUUGAGGAAACAUGAGUUGAAUUACCCUACUCAUGAUAUGGAUCUAGCCGCAGUGGUCCAUGCCUUAAAAAUCUGGAGGCAUUACUUGAUUGGUCAUAAGUGUGAAAUUUACACAGACCAUAGGAGCCUAAAGUAUAUUUUCACCCAGUCAGACCUGAAUCUGAAGCAACGUCGUUGGUUAGAGCUGAUCAAGGAUUACGACCUGGAAGUGCAUUAUCACCCUGGGAAAGCAAAUGUAGUUGCAGAUGCACUUAGUAGGAAAAGCUAUGUCAACAGAGUUCAGCUAACAUUUAUUCCAGCUGAGUUGCAAGCCAAAAUAGAACACCUCAACAUAGGCUUUGUGAAUCAUACCAUGGGUCUAGAGAUAGAGCCAACAUUAGAACAAGAGAUACGUAAGAGUCAGUUGGAGGAUGAGAAAUUAAAAGAGAUAGCAGAUAAUGUAGUGCUUGGAAAGGCACCAGGCUUCAGGAUAGAUGAGAAUGGUACCCUAUGGUUUGGGAAAAGGAUAUGUGUGCCUGAAGUGAAGGCUAUCCGAGACACAAUUCUACGUGAGGCGCAUGACUCUGCUUAUUCAAUACACCCUGGGAGUACCAAGAUGUAUUUGGACCUAAAGGAGAGAUAUUGGUGGUAUGUAUUGAAAAGGGAUGUAGCAGACUAUAUUGCUCUGUGUGACACCUGUCAGAGGGUGAAAGCUGAGCACCAACGACCUGCAGGGUUGUUGCAACCAAUGCAGAUACUCGAAUGGAAAUGGGAAGAAGUCGGUAUGGACUUUAUUCCUGGGAUGCCAUGUACUCAACGUGGGUAUGACUCGAUUUGUGUAAUAGUAGACCGACUCACUAAGGUUGCACAUUUCUUACCAGUCAAAACCAACUACAAAGGGGCAAGGUUAGCCGAGCUGUACAUGGAAAGGAUUGUGUGCUUACACGGAGUUCCAAAGAAGAUCAUGUCUGAUCGAGGAACUCAGUUUACAUCGCACUUUUGGCACAAAGUACGUAGAUCCUUGGGAACUAAGCUGAACUUCAGUUCUGCUUAUCAUCCCCAGACUGAUGGACAGACAGAGAGAAUUAAUCAAAUCUUGGAGGACAUGCUGAGAGCUUGUGCUCUGUAGUAUGGCACUAGUUGGGACAAAAGUCUGCCGUAUGCUGAGUUUUCCUAUAACAACAGCUACCAGAAGAGUCUCAAGAUUGCACCAUUUGAAGCUUUGUAUGGUCGCAAGUGUAGGACACCUUUAUUCUGGAAUCAAACUGGUGAGACACAGGUGUUUGGACCAGACGUCCUAAGAAGUGCUGAAGAACAAGUGAGGAUGAUUAGGGACAAUCUAAGAGUGGCUCAGUCCAGACAGAAAAGUUAUGCCGACACCCGAAGAAGGGAUUUGAGCUUCAAAGAGGGUGAUUUUGUAUAUCUGAAGGUAUCUCCAAUGAGGAGUGUGAAGAGAUUCAAUGUGAAGGGUAAGCUAGCACCGAGAUACGUCGGACCUUUCAGGAUUCUUGCAAGACAUGGAGAAGUAGCCUAUCUGUUAGAACUUCGUGAGAGCUUGUCAGGUGUACAUGAUGUAUUCCAUGUUUCUCAGUGGAAGAAGUGUUUGCGGGUACCUGAAGAGCAGAUUCCUAUAGAAGAGUUGACCGUUAAAGAAGAUCUCACAUAUGAAGAGUACCCGAUAAAGAUCUUGGAAACUGCAGACAGAGUUACAAGAAGCAGAACUAUAAAGAUGUGUAAAGUACAGUGGAACCAUUAUACCGAAGAUGAAGCCACCUGGGAAAGAGAAGAGGAUUUGAGAAAGUCGUAUCCACAACUGUUUGAGUAAGCAUCACCCAAUCUCGAGGACGAGAUUAUUUUUUAAGGGGGUAGAAUUGUAACACCUAAAAUUUGGCUCUUUUAAAAAUAGAUGAAUUUGACUUUAUUAAAUAAUUUUGUGAGCAUUUUCAAUAUAGAAAAUAAAUAAAUUUGGGGAAAUUAAAACUUAAUAUAAGUUUAGACUAAUAUUUUUGUUGAAUGCAUGAUGGUGCACUUCUUUUAUGUGAUGAGUGGUUUUGAACAAAGGAAUUUGAAUUCAAAAAUUCAUUUGGAAAAGAGUUUGAAAAUUUUGUUUGGAAAAUAAAAAGGAAAAAAGCUUUUCUCUCUCCCCCUUCCUUCUUUUCGGCCAUUUUGGCCCAAACCCCGCGCCCCCUUCCUGGGCCGCGGCCCAGCCGGCUCCCCCUCCCUUCCCCCUCUCUCUCUCUGGCGGCUGACGGGUGGGGCCCACCCGUUAGGUCUUUCCCCUUCCUCCUACCGCCCGCCCGAUCUUCUCUCUCUCAGUUGAAAACCGCCAAGCCGCGCCCCGCUCCCCCACGAUCCUCUCCUCUACCCCGCGCCCAGAUAAGUAGUGGGCUGAGAGCCGCGCGCCUCCUUCUCCUGCCCAGUUCCCCUCCCCUCGCCUCUGCUCCCAACCGCGAGCGCGCAGAGAGAACCGUCGCCGGGUCGCCGGAGAAUUUCGUCGGUCGCGCGAAGCCGCUGCUCUGAGCCGUCUUCGUCUUCCUUCUUCGCGUCGGUGAGUGCGCCUCGUCCUCCUCUCCCUCUUCGGCCUUCUCCCGAGCGAGGUGGUGCUCUCUAGGGUCGUCCCCGCAUGCUUCGAAGGUGCCAUCAAUGGCGGCUCUGUCGGUCGCUUUGCGGGGGAGUUUUCGGGUCAUUCCGAGGCCGGGAGCGAGUUCGCCGCGACCUCCUCUCUCUCUCCCAGUGUAUUUAGUUCGCGAAACCGAGUGUUGUAGCAUGUUUUUGGGUGUCUCCGGCGAGCUCGGGCCGGUCGGCCAUGGACCGCCUCCUGCUUCAUCUCCGGCGGCCGCGCCCCCCUGUUUCUCUCUCUCUUUCUCAUCUUGUAAUCUGAGCCGUGGAUCUCUAAUCCGAUGGCCCAGAGUGCUCCAUACCCCUUCGGGGGCAAUCUUGUUAAAGAGUCCCCCAAAAAUAUUGAAAAUCGCACCGCAGUCCUCGGCCAGAGGGAUUUUUUCCAGGAUUUAAUUCAUUUAUUUAAAUUUGUUUAAACUCUGCUUUAUUUACAGAAUUGCCGCCGCAUUGUUUUAGCUACAAAAUCAUCGUUUGAACUCCGAAUCGAUCCGUUCAAGUUGCGUUAGUUUCGUAAUUUCAUAAGCUUCGCGUUGGUACUACUGUUGUUUAGCUUUACCACUGUUAGAUUUCCUAGUUAAUUAUAGGACCGUAGAUUGCUGUUGAAAUCCCGUUAAAAGCGUAACUUUCGCGUCGUGAAUUUCGCGUUGACGUGAUCGUAGCAGCACGUAGAUAAUUUUGGAAAACUUUUAUUUAAUUUAUUUACUGCUGGUGUACUGUUCUAACUUUCAGAAUUGUUCUCUUGCAUGUUUGUCUUGGUAUGCGUGAUGAUUGUGAUGUGUUGAUCGAGCCCAGACGGUGAGGAGUAUUUCGGGAGUCCGGAGCUCUUUGGGGACCAGCAGGACUAGCUAGACCAGCAGGAGUACGUGAACCAAGGCAAGUAUAGCAUGGGCCUACCUUGUUGUCCUAUUCAUUUUUAAGCAUUUCACCCUACAUGUGUAUAAUAUUGCAAACUAUAAGGACAUCCUAGCUGUUGAUGACAAUUAUCUUGUUCCCGAGGGUUUUUAUUGCAUAUGGGUAGAAGUGCUAGUGCUCUAACUCCAAUUAUAUAUGAUCUGAAAUCAGUGAUGGAACCAUGGUUAAUUGAUUAAAUAUGAUUAUGAUAAAUGGAACAUAGGGCUAUGGUACAAAAGACCAUUGGUCAUGUUGUCCUAGACCCUCCGUAAGGACUUAUCUGUCAGCAAAAGCUGGGACUUACAGUGCAACUGGGAGAGUCACAUGGCUCUGACUUUAGUUCAGUAAUAGGAUCUUUUUCUAACUCGUUAGAGGUUACCCGAAAGGGCGCAAGAGGGGCUUGCCACUUUGGGUGUAGUGCUACCCCUGUUUCUAUGAGUAUAGUCGCGAUGGAAAUGUGCCAUAGAAAAGGGGGGUUUUCUACAUCUGCCUGCCAAGAAAACCUCAUGGCUCUAACUGGUUAGAAUAGGCCUAUGAAAGGCUUCAUAAUGUACCCUGCCCGCUCACCUUGGUAGUGUUUGGGGGUCGACGGACCCCGGGCAUAUGGGCAACACGACUCACGGUGAAAGUGCACAACCUCUGCAGAGUGUAUAACUGUUAUAACAGUCGUGCUCACGGUCACGAGCGGCCCGGAAAACUCACAGAAUAACUGGUUACUGAUGGCUUUAUGGUACAUGAUGAUGUAUAAUUAUGCUUUAAUGUCACUUAAUGACUUAGUAUGGUUCUAAUAACUGAUCAUAUGGGAUAUUAGGAGCUUAAGCAUAAACUAAUAAUAAUUAAAGAUAAAAUACUGACCUACUAAAAAGCUAAUGCAGUAAACCUAGUCUAGCCUGUUUGAGCCUCAUAAAUCCUCAUGCUAUGCUUGUGGAGUACGAGAUGUACUCAAGCUUGUAUAUUUCUUUUCUUUGGAUAAAAAUCCCGGAUGGGUAACAGAUGGUGGUAGCUAUGAGGACUACCCGGAGGACUAUUAGGCUUGUGCUUCACCAAUCGACCUUCCCUGUGUGAGGGCCAGGAGAUAGUUAUCUUAGAUUAUCUUAUUUAUAUUUCCACUGUUGUACCAGACUUUGUGAUGUAAUAACUAUGUUUGUUGUAAACACUGCGAUGAUGGUAUUUAAUUUGUGACUUAUUUGUGUGAUUGAUCUCUGGGCACACAUAAGUUUAUGCAUUCAAUUUCUUCCUUGAAAUUGGGUGUGACAAAUUGGUAUCAGAGCCGUGUUGACCGCAGGACGCAAGCCUAGGUAGCAAUGGUCGAUAGAGUAUCUUUAUUUUGUUUAUUUAAUGCUUUCUACCUUACUUUUUGUUAUUUUAUAAAAUUUAUUAUGCUUAUAUCACUUAUUCUAUUGCCAAAAUGUUGAUCUAAUCUUAAAUUAAAAUUUAUAGAUGCCACCUGUCACGAGGUCUCGCCGCGCCAGCACCAGGAGCUACAUCUCUUAGUUCACGCCCCAGUCGUCCCAACCAGUGGUGGACAUCUCCAACGACGAGACUGUCCCUAUGGAUGAAGAGGAUCCAGCGAUGGUGACAGAGGUGGAUGAUGACGAUGAAAACUGGAUGGACUCUCCUGUAGCAGCUGCACCUGUUCCACCCACUGCACCCACUCCACCAGUUGUUCCAGUGGCACCUGUUGCACCUACACCACCAGCUCCACCAGUUGCACCUGCUGCCCCUGCUGUACCAGAGGUUGUGUCUCCAGAUUGUCCUGAGGAAGAAGACCCAGGAUGGACUACCACCAUCCACUACAAGUAUCCUUCACAGACAGCCUACUUCCACAACUUGCUUAGGGAGAUGUUGGAUACUUACUAUGCUGAUAAGGAGAUUGGCAUCAGGUAUUGUUUGUUGUGCAGAGUACACACACCCCUAUGAGGCCACAUAUUGGAGGUCGAAUCUUACCAUCACAGUGGGGAAUGAGACACAUCACAGUUAUAUGGUAGAGAGCAUUCAUGGUCACAUUGCUAGGCGAGCUUAGGCACAGGACAGCAUGGAGGACGCCGCCCAGAUGGCUUACACUCACUACCAUGGCCUUCGCUAUGAGACCAUGAGAGCAGACCAGAACAAGUUCCUCCCUCGCCAUGAUUCUACUAUUCGUACUUGGUCCAUCGAGAACCCGCAGGAGGUUGACACGCCCUUGGAUGCCACUAUUAGGCAUAUGCAUGUCCUGCAGAUGGCCAAUGCACUGGUGCAUGAUCGGGCAUUAGCACCGGUCGGGAAGGGCCUGUUGCCCCGGUUCCCGAGCCGGUGCUGCCCUUCCGGGACUAAAGGCCCACCCUUUAGUCCCGGUUCUGGCAACCGGGGCUAAAGCCCCCCCUUUAACACCGGUUGGUAAUACCAACCGGUGUUAAUGGUCCUGCCAGGGCUGCCACGUUGCAGGACCCUUUAACACUGGUUGGUAUUACCAACCGGUGUUAAAGGGUUUCUUUUUCUUUUUUUUUGGUUUACUUCUUCGGUACUGUUUAUUGUUUAUAUAUAAUAUAUAAUAAUAGGUUUUUCAAUACAUGUUUUGCUGAUACAAUAAUAUAUUUAUAUUACACGCAUAUUAAGCAUAUAUAAAUGAAAAUUAUAGGCUUAGCGGAAUAAUUAAGCUUUGCCUAUAAUAAAAUGAAUAGACCACAUCAAAAAUUAAAUAGAUAUGUAAAAAGCUUUAUAUAUAUAUAUAGUUUUAUAUGUACAAAAUUCGUAACACAUAUAUACAUAGAGUUUUUUCUCCCAAUGUCUACAAACGAUACAAAUGAUCAUCGUUGUUUGGAAUAAGAGUUUCGUUGUCGUUGAAGUGAAACUCGCCGUUUGGAUUGAUCACUUGGUCGCGGAGAAAUCCUGCUAUCGUCUCUUGGAUAGCUUUGAUUCGGUCUUGUUGUAGGACCUUUUCCCUCAACCAUUCUGUCUUUAAUUUGAAAUAAAUAAAAAAGGUAUUAGUUAUCUAAGUUAUUCAAUAUAAUUCAGGAGAUAAUGAAAAGAGACAUGUAACGUACUCUGAGCGUCUCUGUGGGUGUUUGAUUGACUUGUGCCAUCAUGAAUUUGCAUACGUAAUAUGCACAUAGAUUGUUCCCCUCUUCUUGUCUUAAACACCACUGUACGAUAUAUAUAUAUAAAUAUUCACGACCACGACAAUAAGAAGGCUAAAAGUUAGCGAAAGUUUGUUAGCUAGUAGAACUUACUUGUGGAUGUAUUAUGUUAAGCGGCGCUUUACAUCCACUGAGAUGUUCACGGUCAAUGAAUCUUUCCCAAACCCUAUACACCGCCAUUGUGGAUCGUGAACUAAUAAUUACAGAGUCAUAUUAUGAUAUUUUUGUAGCUGAGAUCGACAUUACGUACCUUUGAAUAAUGUUUACCAUUUGUUGAUAAUUUUCUUGUGGUUUUCUCAUUGAGUCAAAGAUUAUCAACCAGUUCUUGGGAAUUUCAAUGACCAUGAGUAUCCAGUGAAAGCUGUUUACACACAUAUAUAUAGUCAGUCCUAUAAUGUAAAAUAAAAUAUGCAUGCACUUAAUAACUAUAUAACUCACUCGAAGUUGAAGGGGAAGAGUAUUUUUUGUUUUUCUUUUUGGUUCACAAAGAACCUCAUAAGAUUGGUGCAGACUUCUAUCUCAUGAUCUGCUGUCCACACUGUCUGCGGAGCCUUGAAAACAAUAUAAGGGUCAACGAACCCAAUACUAUUGUCAUUUCACAUUCUGAGCUCUCUCAUUUGGUGCCUGCAUAUAUACAUACAAAUCCUAAGUGUGUAAGGAUUAUAUACAUGUAAUUAAAGAAGUUAGAAGUAUAAUAAAAAGAAAAAAAUACUUACAGACAAAAGCAGCUGACAAGAGAUUUGUCAAGAGCGUCGAGGUGGCAUAAUUGGUGCAAUUCUUCGAACUGCACGUAUAUGAGGUCAUCUCCACGGAAGUAGUGAUGUUGUCUAAUACGAACAGAAAUCCAAUUCUCUCCCCUUUUAGAUGCCUCAAUGCACCAUUUGUUUAUUGCAAACAUUUGUGUGCCGAGCUCAUGUGAACGCUUAGGGUCGAAUAGACUCCUGCCCGGUUCAUAUCUUGCCCUCCAUUGAUCAACUACCUCGGCUUUUUCAAAUGUUUGGCAUCCAAGAAUGACGGCAAUUUCUUCCAUAUUUAAACCGCUCUGUCCAAAGUAACGCUCAAGCGAGUCUAGCUCAGACAACGCUAAGGAUUUCUUUGGCAUCAAGUCUUCAUUUGAGUCGUAUUGAUUUGGCACAAUCAAAGGGGGCACCAGUUUUGAUACUUCUCCGAGCUGUGGGACCCCCUUUCCUAGUCUCUUCUUAGUAGGCUGUGAAGACUUGACCAGAGACCGCUCAUAGUCCGAAAGUGCUGGCUUUUUCUGAGCUUCGCGUUGCUUCUUUUGAUGGUCCGCCACCUUCUGCCUCAGUUCCGAUGGCUUCACAUAAAAAUACGGCUUUUCUGGGUUAAGCCGUUUUUUCCUAUCCUCCUUUAUUUUAUCAAAAAAUUGUUGGACCUCAGCUUUGGAUGUAGCAAUUACCUCCUCUUCACUCUUUUCGUAAGGUAAUUUUUCUGGCGUCUUAGCUCUCUUUGCUGAGGCAGCCUUCUUUGGAGGUGGGACCGAUGACUUCGGUCCUUCUUGGGCGGCCCGCUUCUUACUACCUCGCUUUGGAGGCGAGGGGACCGACCGUGCACUCUUUGGAGAGGGCGGUGCAGGCGGUGGAGGUGGUGGGGCCGAUCUUUUUGGCGUUGGAGAACGCGGUGGAGGAGUUGGAGACCUCGGUGGAGGAGUUGGAGACCUCGGUGGAGGAGGUGGAGACCGUGGUGGAGGCGGUGGCGGGGUCGGUGUGGCCACCGCAGGUGUUGGAGGAGAUCCAGCAUUGUCACCGCCCGCAGCACUAUGAUGCACUGGGGAGAGAACUGGACUUAGGCUCGAGGAGUCCCUGCAAAGAAAACAAUUACAAGUUUUGUGAGCAAAUUUUUUUUUAAUUUCAAUACAUAAUAAAUAAUAUAAGAAGUAAAAUCACACACAAACCUAUGCUGAGGAAUAAUUAUGAAGCGCUUGCGCCAACAAAUAAAUGCCUUCUCAGCUUCACCUAAGGUCUUCUCUCCGUCUCCCCCUUCUAUGUCUAGUGGCACAUUGCCACAACCUUUCUCAACCCUAUCAACCGAGACGCUAGCAUAUCCACUAGGUACUGGUCGAUUAUGGAUUCUUGGAGUUCUCGUUCGGUCGAUAGGGUUGACAACAGCGAUAGCCACCUUUUUGGUGGCAUUCCCAUCUGGUACAUGUAGCUCACAGGUAGUAAAAGCCUCUGUGACAUCAUCCACGGGGAAGUGUAGCUUCGUGUCAUCCUGAAUGGUUGGUACUUCCGUGGAUGCACAGCUGCUUUUCAACUGGCCUGGGGGGCUAACAUUGACCUUAGGCUGUGAUGUACCUUGACCUUUCGUCAUUUGACUAAGUGCUGCUUGCACUUGCCUUUGAAUCUCUGCCUGCAUCCAUUCUUCACGAGCUUUCUCGCGCUCUUGUGACUGCAGAACAAAAGCUUCCAGGCGGCGGAUCCGCUCUGCCUCCUCAUCCUUCUUUCUCUGGCGGCUUUUGUAGGUAUCUUGAUCGGCUUGGAAUGAUUGCAGCCACGGAACUGCACCAUAGCCUCUCGUACGCCCACCAUGCUCAGGAUUUUCAAGCGCAUAGGUGAGUUCAUCCUUCUCCCUGUUAGGCCUGAACUCACCAGACUAAACCGCCUCUCGUGCACGGACUAGUCUCUCUGCUGCUCUAGAGAUUUCUUGGCCCCAAACUAGCGCCCCGGUGUCUGGGUCCACGCUUUCCCCAUGACCGUAGAACCAAUGCUUGGAGCGCUCGCUCCAAUUCUUUGCUAUUGUCUCGGGUGUGACCCCCCUAGCAAGCAUCUCCUGUUCCAUUCGGUCCCACUUGGGAACAACACUCUUAUAACCACCUGAUCCCAUAUGAUGGUGGUAUGUCUUUUUACUGGCAUUCUCUUUGUUUCUAUUGGCUCGUUCCUCGCCCUCUUCUGAUGUUUUGUACUGCACAAAGUCAUCCCAGAAGGCCCUCAGCUUUACAUAUUGCUUGAGGUUGAAAUUUGGAGUCUCGUUUUUCUUGACAUAUUUAUUGUACAAAGACUUCUUCCAAUUCUGGAAGAGUACUGCCAUCUUCUUCAUAGUCCAGUCAUAAAUUCGCACCUUCAACUCUUCAUCGUUGGUGUCGAAGGUGAAAACGUCUGUGACGGCUUUCCAAACUAACUCCUUGUCACGAUCAGAGACAAAACUGAUCUCAGGAGCACCUCGCUUCUCUUUCCAUUCACGAGCACUGAUCGGUAUUUGAUCUCUCACAAGAUAUCCACAGUGACUAACAUAUUUAUUUGCAUGCUCACCAAGUGGUCUGCCUGUAGCUAUCUCAAACUCAGAGAUUACAUAGCGGCCCUCCAACGGCUUCUUUGGCCCUCGUGGAGGUACGCUUCUCCCCGUACAGGUCGAUCCAGAAGGCUACACGUAGAUAUAGAAACAAAAAUACUAAAUUAAUAACCAAGUAAGUCUAAAACCUAAUGUAAGAGAUGCAUUAAUUAUAUAUAUUUACAUUUACAUACCUCGCCAGUAGGAUGGCCCUCUUGUUGCUCAGUAGGAUGGCCCUCUUGUUGCUCAGUAGGAUUGCCUUGCAUGAUAUCGUGGUAAUCAAUAAAGUACUGACUACCGUCAUCGAUUAUAUUUUGAAUGGCAUCUUCCAUAUAUUCACGAUCAUCAUGAGCGCGGUCAGCCAUUUCUAUGUCUGCAAUCAUACAUAUAUAUAUAUAUAUAUAUAUAUAUAUAUAUAUAUAUAUAUAUAAAAAUAUAUAUAUAUAUAUGUGUGUGUGUGUGUCUGACUAUAUAUAUAUACAAAAAAAAAAAUAUAGACAAAAACACUAGAAUAAUAUACUAGCACACAAUAUAUUUCAUAACAAUUCAAAACACUACAAUUCAUAAUAUACUAGAAUAACAUACUAAAAAGUCUUUUAAGCCAAGUAAUAUACUAGAAUAAUAUACUAAAAAAUAAUACUAUAAUAAUAGUAUAAACUAAUAGUAUAUGUUUUAAGCCAAGUAAUACACUUGCACAUAGAAUAAUGUACUAAAAAAUUAAUACUACUACAAAUUGAUACAAGAAUAAUAUAAGUGCAUAUAUAUACAUAAUAAGAAAUACACUAGAAUAAUAUAAGUGCUAGAGUGCUCCAAACUAAAAAGUAAUACUAAAAAAAUAAUACGGACAAUAACAUUAGAAUAAUAUACUAGCACACAAUAUAUUUCAUAACAAUUCAAAACACUAGCACACAAUAUAUUUCAUAACAAUUCAAAACACUACAAUUCAUAAUAUACUAGAAUAACAUACUAAAAAGUCUUUUAAGCCAAGUAAUAUACUAGAAUAAUAUACUAAAAUAUAAUACUAAAAAACAAUACUAAAAUAAUAGUAUAAACUAAUAGUAUAUGUUUUAAGCCAAGUAAUACACUUGCACAUAUAUAGAAUAAUGUACUAAAAAAUUAAUACUACUACAAAAUGAUACAAGAAUAAUAUAAGUGCAUAUAUAUACAUAAUAAUACAAAAUAAUAUAUAAACUGUUCGGUAUGAAAUAUAAGUGCAUAUAUAAUGAUACAAAAUAAUAGUACAUAAUUAAGUGCAUAUAAAAUAAUAGUAUAUAUACAUAAUGAUACAAAAUAAUAAUAUAGAAUAAUGAUACAAGAACAAAAUGAUACAAGAAUAAUAGUAUAUAUAUAUAUAUCUCUUAUAUAUAUAUAUAUGUAUGUGUAUGUAUGUAUAUAUAUAUAUAUAUAAACUGUUUGUAUUCAUAUAUAUCUAUACAAUUCAUAUAUACAAUUUUAGUCUAUACAUAUAAACUGUUUUGACAUUCAUCCAUAUAUAUAUAUAUACACACGAGCGAUCGAUGAAGAAAUAUACGUAGGAUCUGGUGGAGAGCCGCUGCAGCGGCGCUGGAGAUGAACGGCGGCGCUGGGGAGACAAACGGGCGGCGCUGGAGAUGGCGGCGGCGGCGCUGGAGACAAACGGCGGUGCUGGGGAGACGAACGGGCGGCGCUGGACGACGGCAGCGCGGAGGUCUCUGCUCGACGAAGACGAAGACGAAGGGAACUGCCCAGAUCCAGGGCGCCGGCGGCUUAUAUAGGGGCGGACCCUUUAGCACCAGUCUGUGGCUGGAACCGGUGCUAAAGGGUCUUUAACACCGGCUGGUAACACGCGCCGGUGCUAAAGGGUGACCCUUUAACACUGGCGCGUGUUACCAGCCGGUGUUAAAGCGAUCCUUUAGACUAUCUCCAACAAUCGUCACCCAAAAUAUAAGACCCAUUUGUCCUUUGGGUAGCGCUACAGGUAAAAGGUUCCAUACAUAUUUUUAGUCUUCUCCAACAACAAGACCUAAAAGACAACACUCUCUGCAAAUAGGUCUCGAGGAGAGAGGAUACCCAAAUUUGGGUUAUGCCUCUCCUGAUACCCAAAAUAGGUCUUCUGUAUGGGUACUUUGUUGGAGACUAUAGGUAUUGUGUUGGAGACCCAUUUUAGGUUUGGGUUUUCAAAUGAGUCUCCUGUUGGAGACAGCCUUAGCACCGGUUCCAGCCACGGACCGGUGCUAAAGGGUCCUGCGCGCGCUAGGGCGGGCUCCUGAAAUUUUCAGGACCCUUUAGCACCGGUUCCCACUAUGGGCCGGUGCUAAAGGCCCAUUUUUUUAGUUUAGGGUUUUUCAAUUGUUUUAUAUAUACAGUUUAUAUUAUAAAUUGUAUAAUAAAUUAAAUAUUUUGCAUAAUGUUUUUUAAACAGUGACAUAUAUUGUAAUUUGUUUUAAUGUACACAUGAAAAUUUUUAAACUUAAAUAUCUUAUUGUAUUUUUAUAAUUUACAAUGAUUUUGUAAGAAAUGUUUAGUAUUUUGUUAAUGCAAAAAUAUAUUAUUCCAAUAAAUUUACAAAAACUAUAUCCAAUGAACUGGAAAUUUAUUUUCACAUCAUAUUGACGUAAAACUUUUUAUUUUUGUUAUUUAUUACUAGGAAUGCUAGUUGGGUAUAAUUUUCAUCAAAUAAAAAAUCAUAUAAAAAUAUAUAUCUUGAUGAACACACCCUUUGACCGAACCCUAGAUUGUCCCAAAUGGAAAAGUCAUGAAUACAAAAUUUGCUACACUCAUCAAGUUCUACAUUUUGCCUAAUGGUCAACUUUUCAUUUGGAAAAGUUUGAACCACUGAAUUUUGAAUUUUCAUAGAACUCAUAGCCACGCAGCGGUUUCGGAACCCUAGAUGGUCUCGAAUGGAAAAGUCAUGAAUACCAAUAUUGUUCCACUCAUCAAAAUCUACAUUUCAUAUAUAGACCAUUUUUGCAUUUGACAAAGUUUUGGGAAGCUGUAGUUGAAAAUCCACAAUUGACACAUAUAGUUUCAUAUAGUUUGUGUGAGAUUCAAGAUUUGGUGGGUAUUGUUAACUUAGACUUUCUCAAAUGGAAAAGUUGUGUACAUAAAAAGUUUAGAUCUUGAUGAUAUCUAACAACUUGGUAUUCAAAAGUUUUUCAUUUGAAGUAAUUUAGUUUGUCAUUUGACCAAGUUUGACCAAAACCCGUCUUGGAUUUUAUAGAAAUAUAAUUAGGAUUGCCUCAAAAUUAUCCAAAUGGAAAAAUGGACAAUAUAUAAAAUAUAGAUCUUGAUGAUCUCUAACAACUUUGUAUUCAAACUUUUUUCAUUUGAAGUCAUCAAAUGGGACAUUUGACCAAGUUUGACCAAAGUCAAAGCAUUGGUUUUUACAAACACACCCUUUGACCGAACCCUAGAUUGUCCCAAAUGGAAAAGUCAUGAAUACAAAGUUUGCUACACUCAUCAAGUUCUACAUUUUGUCUAAUGGUCAACUUUUCAUUUGGAAAAGUUUGAACCACUGAAUUUUGAAUUAUCAUAGAACUCAUAGCCACGCAGCGGUUUCGGAACCCUAGAUGGUCUCGAAUGGAAAAGUCAUGAAUACUAAUAUUGUUCCACUCAUCAAAAUCUACAUUUCAUAUAUAGACCAUUUUUGCAUUUGACAAAGUUUUGGGAAGCUGUAGUUGAAAAUCCACAAUUGACACAUAUAGUUUCAUAUACUUUGUGUGAGAUUCAAGAUUUGGUGGGUAUUGUUAACUUAGACUUUCUCAAAUGGAAAAGUUGUAUACAUAAAAAUUUUAGAUCUUGAUGAUAUCUAACAACUUGGUAUUCAAAAGUUUUUCAUUUGAAGUAAUUUAGUUUGUCAUUUGACCAAGUUUGACCAAAACCCGUCUUGGAUUUUAUAGAAAUGUAAUUAGGAUUGGCUCAAAAUUAUCCAAAUGGAAAAAUGGACAAUAUAUAAAAUAUAGAUCUUGAUGAUCUCUAACAACUUUGUAUUCAAACUUUUUCCAUUUGAAGUCAUCAAAUGGGCCAUUUGACCAAGUUUGACCAAAGUCAAAGCACUGGUUUUUACAAACACACCCUUUGACCGAACCCUAGAUUGUCCCAAAUGGAAAAGUCAUGAAUACAAAGUUUGAUACACUCAUCAAGUUCUACAUUUUGUCUAAUGGUCAACUUUUCAUUUGGAAAAGUUUGAACCACUGAAUUUUGAAUUUUCAUAGAACUCAUAGCCACGCAGCGGUUUCGAAACCCUAGAUGGUCUCGAAUGGAAAAGUCAUGAAUACCAAUAUUGUUCCACUCAUCAAAAUCUACAUUUCAUAUAUACACCAUUUUUGCAUUUGACAAAGGUUUGGGAAGCUGUAGUUGAAAAUCCACAUUUGACACAUAUAGUCAUGACCAUUUUUGCAUUAGAUGAUCUCUAACAAUUGGAAAAGUCAUGAAUACAAAGUUUGUUAUACACAUCAAAAUUCACAAAUCUCAAAUAUAGUUUCAUACAAAGUCAAGCCGACACAACAGUGAACUUCUUCUUGACGUAUGACCCUUGGUUAUGAUCCUGGCGUAACAAUGGAGUAUCCUCAUUGUUUAACAGAAUGCUUGGGUCUUUGUUGACUAUGAAGGGCGGAAUUCGAUCAUCCCUUUCGUAAUCGCCUGACAUGUCUGACUUGUCCUCAAUUCCGACAAUGUUUCUUUUCCCAGAAAGGACAAUGUGGCGCUUUGGCUCAUUGAUGAUUGAGUGGUCAUCAUUUUUUCCUCUCUUUGGUUUCGUAGACAUAUCUUUGACAUAGAACACCUGACUCACGUCUGCAGCAAGGACAAAUGGUUCGUCUUUGAACGCACUAUUGUUAAGGUCCACGGUUGUCAUCCCAUACUCCUUGUCGACUGUUACCCCACCUCCGGUCAUCUUCACCCAUUGGCACCGGAACAAAGGAACUUUAAAAUUAGCUGCAUAGACUAGUUCCCAUAUGUCUUCUAUGCGUCCAUAAUAUAUUUGUCUGCUCCCAUUUGGAUCCGUGGCAUCCACGCGUACACCACUAUUUUGGUUGGUGCUCCUUUUAUCUUGGCCAACUGUGUAAAAUGUGUUACCAUUUAUCUCGUACCCUUUGUAUGUGAGGACAUGCCAUGAUGGUUGCCUGGCCAACAAAUAUAGCUGCUCAUCAAUGUUUUCAUCACCUUGACAUUUUUUGCGCAACCAAUCGCCAAAAGUUUCCAUGUGCUGACGCAUUAUCCAAGCUUCAUUCUUCCCGGGCCACUGGGACCGUAGGAAAUCUUUGUGUACCUCAACAUAUGGUUCCACCAAUGAGGAGUUCUGGAGAACUGUGUAGUGUGCUUUAUUGAAGUAAUCGUCUCCCGUACCAAUAUAUGUUUUCUUCCCAAGUGUUCCCUUUCCGCUAAGUCUGCCCUCGUGUCGAGAUUUAGGAAUGCCAAUUGGGUCAAGGUCUGGAAUAAAGUCAACACAGAACUCUAUGACCUUCUCUGUUCCGUAGCCCUUGGCAAUGCUUCCUUCCGGCCGGGAACGACUAUGGACAUAUUUCUUUAGGACACCCAUGAAUCUCUCGAAGGGGAACAUGUUGUGUAGGAACACAGGACCGAGAAUACGAAUCUCUUUGACCAGAUGAACUAGGAGGUGUGUCAUGAUAUCGAAGAAGGUUGGAGGGAACACCAACUCAAAGCUGACGGGACAUUGAGCGACAUCAUUCUGUAGAGUAGCUAGUUGCUCUGGAUUGAUUGCCUUCUGAGAAAUUGCAUUGAGGAAUGCACAUAGCUUUACGGUGGCUAGACGUACGUGUGGAGGUAGAAUUCCUCUUAAAACGACCGGCAACAAUUGCGUCAUUAGAACGUGACAGUCAUGGGACUUCAAGUUCAGGAAUUUCUUCUCUGGCACAUUAAUUAUUCCCUUGAUAUUGGAGGAGAAUCCAGAUGGGACCUUGAUGCUGCUAAGACAUUCAAACAUGCUUUCCUUCUCUUCUUUGCUCAGAGUGUAGCUAGCAGGGCUUAAGUAAUGACGUCCAUCAUCUGUCUUUUCUGGAUGCAGGUUGUCUCAUUCUUUCAUGCGCUGCAAGUCUUGUCGUGCUUCAAGUGAAUCCUUAGACUUCCCGUAGACACCCAUGAAUCCGAGCAAGUUCACACAAAGAUUCUUUGUUAGGUGCAUCACGUCGAUCGCAUUGCGGACCUCUAGGACAUUCCAGUAAGGUAGCUCCCAAAAUAUGGAUUUCUUCUUCCACAUGGGUACGUGUCCCUUAGCAUCCUUGGGAAUAGGUUCGCUGCCUCGUCCCUUUCCAAAUACCACUUUUAUAUCCUUGACCAUUUCGAGUACAUCAUCCCCGGUUCGAUUGAGAGGUUUGGUCCGGUGGUCUGCCUUGCCUUUAAAAUGCUUGCCUUUCUUUCGUACUAGGUGGUUCACAGGAAGAAACCGACGGUGGCCAAGGUACACGACCUCUCGACAUUUUUUCAAAAAUACACAGUCAAGGUCUUCAUAACAAUGUGUGCAUGCAUUAUAUCCCUUGUUUGACUAGUCUGAAAGAUUACUCAGAGCUGGCCAAUCAUUGAUUGUUACAAACAGCAAUGCUCGCAGGUCAAAGUGCUCUUGUUUGUUCUCAUCCCACACGCGAACUCCUGGUUUGCUCCAUAAAAGUUAAGUUCCUCAACUAAUGGCCUUAGGUAGACAUCUAUGUCAUUGCCAGGUUGCUUCGGUCCUUGGAUAAGCACCGACAUCAUAAUAAACUUCUGCUUCAUGCAUAGUCAUGGAGGAAGGUUGUAGAUACAUAGAGUAACUGGCCAAGUGCUGUGACUACUGCUCUGCUCACCGAAAGGAUUCAUACCAUCUGUACUUAAGGCAAACCGCAAGUUUCUAGCAUCAUCUGCAAAAUCUAGGAAUUCUCUGUCUAUCGCUCCCCACUGGGAUCCAUCGGCAGGGUGUCUCAGCAUAUUGUCUAUCUUACAGUCUUCUUUAUGCCACCGCAACAACUUUGCAUUGUCCUUAUUUCUGAACAGACGUUUUAAUCGUGGUAUUAUAGGAGCAUACCACAUAACCUUGGCUAGAAUUUUCUUCCUAUGACGUUCUUCACCCUCAACAUCACCAGGAUCAUCUCGUCUAAUCUUAUACCGUGAUGCCUUACAUACUGGACAUGCAUACAAAUUCUCGUAUUCCUCCCCACGGUAGAGGAUGCAGUCAUUAGGACAUGCGUGUAUCUUCUGGAUUUCUAAUCCUAAAGGACAGACAACCUGUUUUGCUUCAUACGUAGUGGUGGGCAAUUCGUUGUCUUUUGGAAGCAUCUUUUUUAUGAUCUUCAAUAACUGCCCAAAUGCCUUGUCAGAUGUACCAUUCUUUGCCUUCCAUUGCAGCAAUUCUAGUGUGGUACCCAGCUUUUUUGCCCCUCUUCAGCGGUGGGAUAUAGCGAUUUCCUGUGGUCCUCUAGCAUGCGCUCGAACUUGGCUUUCUCUUUAUCACUUUCACAUUCUCUUUGUGCAUCACGGAUGGCAUCACCAAAAGCAUCAUCGCCCCGAUCAUCUUCUGCCGCCACCUCUUCUUCAUUAUCUCCCCCCAUUGCAACAUCAUUGAAGCCACCGUACCGAGCAAUAAUAUUGGCAUGGUCCAAUUCUUCUUCUUCUUCACCUUCAUCCAUUAUAAUCCCGCUUUCUCCAUGUUUGGUCCAACAAAUGUAGUUUUGUACGAAACCUGACUUUAAUAAGUGUGAAUGAAGAGUUCUUGAGUUAGAAUAUUUCGUCAAAUUCUUGCACACGGCACAUGGACAGCACAUGAAACCGUCCCUCUUAUUUGACUCGGCCACACUUAAGAAAUAGUGCACGCCAUUAAUGAACUCUUCGGAGCGCCGAUCGGCAUUAUACAUCCAAUUACGUGUUACCAUCUGCAUUAAAUAUAAUAUAUAUAUUAUGAAAAAAAUGCACACAUAUAGUUUCUCAUCUUAUUGCACAACAUGUCUAAGAUACAUAGUUGAUUAAUUUAGGAAAGCUUGGCUACAACAAAUACAAUCGCAACUAGCACUAAAAAAACCAAAACUAAAAUGCACUUAAGCAACAUAAUUAGUUCGCGUCCAAUCCCAACUAUAAUAGAUAGAUCAUUCGCUUGAUCAAUAUCAUUGAACUCCUUUCGUCGGCUCACUGCCUCACCACCUUUAGCCUCAACCACCUGUGCAAAAGAUUUCUUAAUGUGUUCAAUGUAUUCUUCCUCCCAGUACCAACCUGUACAUCCGCCGGUACCGUCCCACUGAAAUUAAAAGAGAGAAUCAAAAGUUUAAUUAAUAACAUUUAAAAAAAUAUGCACAUAUAUAAGAAAAUGUCUGGAAAUAACUCACAUUACGAUCUGGAUACUUGUAGAAUAUACGACCCUUGUUUACUCCCUCUUUCGAUACUUUGUACUCCAUCAAAAUCUUCUGCCCACACUUGCCACAAGUAAUGAGAGGGAGUUCCGGACGGUAUCGCUUUUGAACCCGUUGAGAGACCGAAGACCCGGUCACGGUUGCCAUCUACUAUCCAUACUCAAUUUUUAAACAAUUAUAAAUUCCACAUUUACUAGUAAACAUGUAUGAUACAAUGGACAUUAUAUGUAGUAAUAAAAAUAAAUCAAGUGAUAUUAACAAACCAAUUAAUUUGAACUAUCCUACUUUCUAAGAUCAUAAAAAUAUACUAUAAUUCAUUCUUGCAAACUACAUUAAUACUAGGUCAACCAUGAAAUAUGAUAUAUAUAUAUAUGGAUACUAAUUAAUGUGAAUGAUUCAAAAUAACAACGUGGAUUUGAGCUAAAAAUAAUGCGAACAUCACAAGCCAAAAACAACAUGAAAAGACAAGAAAGACAAAAGUUAGUCACCUCCGAGCACGAAGAGACGAUGACGGAGUCGAAGAAGAUCAACGAUGAGCGUUGGAGAUGAAGAACAAAUGAAGAACAAGCAAGAAGAAGCUCCAAGAACAACAAUGGUGCUCUCGGUUUCAAAUGGGCAGAGGGGAGGAGGGACCGGCCUAUAAACCGGAACUUUAGCACCGGUUCAGGGGAAAAACCGGUUCUAAAGGGUUACCCUUUAGCACCGGUUUGUGUUACGAACCAGUGCUUAAGGGUUUGCCUCGGCCCGUGGCUCUGGCCGGUGCUAAAGGGUCCCUGUCCCGACAACACCUGUCAGUAGCCGUUGGGCAGGACCCUUUAGCACCGGUUCGUGUUACGAACCGGUGUUAAAGGGGUCUUUAACCCCGGGCCGCAAAAAGGCCGAGGUUUUUGGCCAUUUUGGGCAUCGACCAAGGCCUCAUUCUGUAGUAGUGAUGAUGAUCUACAGGAGGAGCUACGUGACCAGCAGGAUUCCUUGGAUCGCUUCCAGGAGAUGGUUGACAGCCUUAGAGAGCAGCUUGACUUGCCACCGCUCUACAAGAAGAAGACCGCACCUCCUAGCAUCUCCGGCGACGCACCAUAGGCCUAGGAUGCCAUAGUUGUUUUAUUUUGUAGUCCCGUUGUGUCAGUUGAGUUUGAAGUGUUUUUGAACAAUUGAUGUGUCCGUUGAAUUUGUUUAUGACUUUGCAUGAUUUGAAUCUUUGUAAUUACUGCUGGAAGGUUGUGGAUUUAUCUACAAACUUCUGUUAUCUUAAGUUUAAUUAUCGAAUGCUUAGUUGGGUUGGUAUAUUCUGCUGUUGCUGUGCUGUUUUUCUGGAGCAGCCUGUGAUGUUUAACUUUCAUCUCUGAAGUGGUACGUCCAAAACUUCUGAAAUUUUUGUGGAGGAAACUAGACUGCGGUAUCUCUCUUUUGCAACCGGAACCAAGUCAAAACCUGCUCGGGUCUGGGAGAUAUCCUUGUUACAAUCUGGGACUAUUGCGCAGACUAGAACACAGAACAGAUUCACUUUACCCCUGAUUUUGAUCAAGAUAAUGUCAGAACCUGUAAAAGUGGUCUGAACAAAAGUUGUAACAAAUUUCAUAAGCUUUCCAAACAUGUAUGGCAUGCCUCAGUUGGAUCUCAGAAACUCGAGUCAUGAGUUAAAUACUGCACUGCUGAUUUUGCAUCUUGUCCAGAAAAAUUUCAGCAAAGCUUAAUUGAUAUUAUAAUCAGUUUAUAAUUAUGGAAAGACCUCUAAAAGCUUAUUCCUUUGUUGGAAACAGAUGGCUGAUGAAGGAGGAAGAGGCCGUGGUCGAGGUCGAGGCCGUGGCCGUGGACGUGGCCAUGCGCACCGGUGGAUCCACCGCCACCACCACAGCCUGUGACAGUGGAGCAGCUCAUGCUGGUGCAAGCUCAAUUGAUGCAAACUAUGAUGGAUCGCCUGGAUCACCAGCCCGCCGUCGUACCACCACCGGUCCAGGUUCGCGAUAAGAGGGGAGAGUUCAUGAAGGGAUGUCCCCCUAUUUUUACACAUGCUAGUGACCCUUUAGAAGCUGAUGAUUGGUUAAGAGCCGUGGAGAAGCAGCUGAACAUUGCUCAGUGCAAUGAGAUGGAGAAGGUGUUGUAUGCCUCCGGACAACUGCAAGGGGCUGUACAGGAAUGGUGGGAGUCCUACCAAUAUGGAUGCCCAAACAAUGCACCACCUGUCACUUGGAGGGAAUUCACCGAGAGUUUCCGGUCUUACCACAUUCCAGAGGGGCUCAUCGAGCUCAAACAAGAGGAGUUCCGUGCUCUCAAGCAAGGCUCUAUGACUGUCGCUGAGUACCAUGACAAGUUCGCUCAAUUGUCACGUUACGCUCCGGGUGAAGUAGCCAAGGAUUCUGACAAGCAACGUCGUUUCCUGAAAGGACUGUAUGAUGGCCUGCAACUGCAGUUGAUGUCCAAUGUUUACCCUAGCUUCCAGGAACUUGUCAACCGUGCUAUUGUGAUCGACAAUAAGUGCAAAGAGAUGGAUGCUAAGAAGAGGAAGAUUCAGGGGCAGCCAUCUAGCAGCAACACUCGUCCGCGCGUGUUUCCUCAGCAGGGCUUUCCUCCCAGGAACCAGAGGCCCCCUAGUCAAUGGAAUCAGGGCCAGUACCCUCCGCGCAACCAAAACCAGAAUCAGCAGUGUCCUCAGUACCAGCAACAGUUUGGUAAUCAACGCCCUCAGCAGCAAGCUAACCCCUAGGCACCACGUCCAGGUGUGCCCAACAAUGCUCCAAUGAAGACAGCAGUGGCAAACAACCCCAAUGCUUGCUACCGUUGUGGUGAAGUGGGUCACUAUGCCCAUCAGUGCCCGAAGAAGCAGAACCCCUCAGCUCCACAGAAUCAGAAUAACAAUCAGAGGCCUAGUGCUGGACCACCCCACACUAGAAGGGUGAACCAUGUGUCUACUGAAUCAGCUUAGGAGGCACCCGAGGUCAUGCUGGGUACGUUCCGUAUCAACUCCAUCCCUGCUACUGUACUUUUUGAUUCCGGAGCUUCGCAUUCUUUCAUCUCGCAAGUUUUUGUUAGAGUACAUAGCAUAGCUUUAUGUGCCAUGAAAAACUCAAUGCUAGUGAAUUCACCGGGGGGUACUAUGCCAGCUAACUAUUGGAGUCCCUCCACUAGUGUUUCUCUAAGGGGGGUAGAGUUCAAAGUAAACCCCGUUGUGCUAAGAACUUCUGGUAUUGACCUUAUCCUUGGGAUGGAUUGGAGGAAGCAACAUCGGGUAGUGAUUCAAUGCCAGGAGAAGUCUGUGCUAGUAACAUCACCUAAAGGGGAUAGAAUUUGUGUAGAAGUGGCAGUGCAAGCGCCUCCAACUGCUACCGUGAACUUGUUGACUGAUGAGGUCAAUGAGGAGAACCAAGUGGUGGAUGACUUCCCUGAUGUGUUCCCUGAUGAAUUGCAAGGUAUGCCACCUGACCGAGACAUCGAAUUCCUUAUUGAACUUUUACCUAGAACUGCACCUAUAGCUAAAAGACCUUAUAGAAUGGGAGUGAAUGAACUAGAGGAACUUAAGAAACAAAUUAAGGAGUUGUUAGAGAAGGGUUUUAUUCAUCCUAGUUCAUCACCUUGGGGAGCACCCGUUAUCUUUGGCGAUAAGAAAGAUGGUACCAGGAGAAUGUGUGUGGAUUACCGGUCACUAAAUGAAGUAACCAUAAAAAACAAGUACCUUUUGCCUAGAAUUGAUGACAUGUUUGAUCAGUUCAAAGGUGCUUGUGUGUUCUCAAAAAUAGACCUUCGAUCCGGAUAUCACCAACUGAAAAUCCGUGCAUCGAAUGUACCUAAGACAGCCUUUACUACCAGGUAUGGCUUGUAUGAGUACACAAUUAUGUCUUUUGGGCAGACCAAUGCACCCGCAUAUUUCAUGUACCUCAUGAACAAGGUGUUCAUGGAGUUCUUGGAUAAGUUUGUAGUGGUGUUCAUUGAUGACAUACUUAUCUUUUCCAAAACUAUAGAGGAACAUGCGGAGCAUCUGAGGCUAGUCUUACAAAAGCUUAGAGAACAUAAGCUAUAUGCGAAAAGAAGCAAGUGUGAGUUUUGGCUAAAGGAGGUCUCCUUUCUAGGACAUGGUUUCUAAUGGAGGGUUAGCCGUGGACCCCAGCAAGGUGCAAGAUGUGUUGAAUUGGAAAGCCCCGACCAAUGUGAGUGAAAUCCGUAGCUUUCUGGGAUUGGCCGGAUAUUAUAGGAGAUUCAUUGAAGGAUUCUCUAAACUUGCUAAGCCCAUGACGGCCUUAUUAGAGAAGAGUGCUAAGUUUGUUUGGUCAGACAAAUGCCAUGCUAACUUUGAGGAGUUAAAGAAGAGGUUGACCACUGCUCUGGUGUUGACCUUACCUAACUUAAGCAAGAGCUUCUCCAUCUAUUGUGAUGCUUCUCGCUUAGGUUUAGGUUGUGUGCUCAUGCAAGAAGGAAGAGUAGUGGCCUAUGCAUCUAGGCAGUUGAGGAAACAUGAGUUGAAUUACCCUACUCAUGAUCUGGAGCUAGCCGCAGUGGUCCAUGCCUUAAAAAUCUAGAGGCAUUACUUGAUUGGUCAUAAGUGUGAAAUUUACACAGACCAUAAGAGCCUAAAGUAUAUUUUCACCCAGUCAGACCUGAAUCUGAAGCAACGUCAUUGGUUAGAGUUGAUCAAGGAUUAUGACCUGGAAGUGCAUUAUCACCCUGGGAAAGCAAAUGUAGUUGCAGAUGCACUUAGUAGGAAAAGCUAUGUCAACAGACUUCAGCUGACAUUUAUUCCAGCUGAGUUGCGAGCCAAAAUAGAACACCUCAACAUAGGCUUUGUGAAUCAUACCAUGGGUCUAGAGAUAGAGCCAACAUUAGAACAAGAGAUACGUAAGAGUCAGUUGGAGGAUGAGAAAUUAAAAGAGAUAGCAGAUAAUGUAGUGCUUGGAAAGGCACCAAGCUUCAAGAUAGAUGAGAAUGGUACCCUAUGGUUUGGGAAAAGGAUAUGUGUGCCUGAAGUGAAGGCUAUCCGAGACACAAUUCUACGUGAGGCGCAUGACUCUGCUUAUUCAAUACACCCUGGGAGUACCAAGAUGUAUUUGGACCUAAAGGAGAGAUAUUGGUGGUAUGGAUUGAAAAGGGAUGUAGCGGAGUAUGUUGCUCUGUGUGACACCUGUCAGAGUGUGAAAGCUGAGCACCAAUGACCUGUAGAGUUGUUGCAACCAAUGCAGAUACCCGAAUGGAAAUGGGAAGAAGUCGGUAUGGACUUUAUUCCCGGGUUGCCAUGUACUCAACGUGGGUAUGACUCGAUUUGUGUAAUAGUAGACCGACUCACUAAGGUUGCACAUUUCUUACCAGUCAAAACCAACUACAAUGGGGCAAGGUUAGCCGAGCUGUACAUGGAAAGGAUAGUGUGCUUACACGGAGUUCCAAAGAAGAUCAUGUCCGAUCGAGGAACUCAGUUUACAUCGCACUUUUGGCACAAAGUACAUAGAUCCUUGGGAACUAAGCUGAACUUCAGUUCUGCUUAUCAUCCCCAGACUGAUGGACAGACAGAGAGAAUUAAUCAAAUCUUGGAGGACAUGCUGAGAGCUUGUGCUCUACAGUAUGGCACUAGUUGGGACAAAAGUCUGCCGUAUGCUGAGUUUUCCUAUAACAACAGCUACCAGAAGAGACUCAAGAUGGCACCAUUUGAAGCUUUGUAUGGUCGCAAGUGUAGGACACCUUUAUUCUGGAAUCAAACUGGUGAGACACAGGUGUUUGGACCAGACGUCCUAAGAAGUGCUGAAGAACAAGUGAGGAUGAUUAGGGACAAUCUAAGAGUGGCUCAGUCCAGACAGAAAAGUUAUGCCGACACCCGAAGAAGGGAUUUGAGCUUCAAAGAGGGUGAUUUUGUAUAUCUGAAGGUAUCUCCAAUGAGGAGUGUGAAGAGAUUCAAUGUGAAGGGUAAGCUAGCACUGAGAUACGUCGGACCUUUCAGGAUUCUUGCAAGACGUGGAGAAGUAGCCUAUCAGUUAGAACUUCCUGAGAGCUUGUCAGGUGUACAUGAUGUAUUCCAUGUUUCUCAGUUGAAGAAGUGUUUGCGGGUACCUGAAGAGCAGAUUCCUAUAGAAGAGUUGACCGUUAAAGAAGAUCUCACAUAUGAAGAGUACCCGAUAAAGAUCUUCGAAACUGCAGACAGAGUUACAAGAAGCAGAACUAUAAAGAUGUGUAAAGUACAGUGGAACCGUUAUACCAAAGAUGAAGCCACCUGGGAAAGAGAAGAGGAUUUGAGAAAGUCGUAUCCACAACUGUUUGAGUAAGCAUCACCCAUUCUCGAGGAUGAGAUUAUUUUUAAGGGGGUAGAAUUGUAACACCCAAAAUUUGGCUCUUUUAAAAAUAGAUGAAUUUGACUUUAUUAAAUAAUUUUGUGAGCAUUUUUAAUAUAGUAAAAUAAAUAAAUUUGGGGAAUUAAAACUUAAUAUAAGUUUAGACUAAUAUUUUUGUUGCAUGCAUGCUGGUGCACUUCUUUUAUGUGAUGAGUGGUUUUGAACAAAGGAAUUUGAAUUAAAAAAUUCAUUUGGGAAAAAGUUUGAAAAUUUUGUUUGGAAAAUAAAAAGGAAAAAAGCUUUUCUCUCUCCCCCUUCCUUCUUUUCGGCCAUUUUGGCCCAAACCCCACGCCCCCUUCCUAGGCCACGGCCCAGCUGGAUCCCCCUCCCUUCCCCCUCUCUCUCUGGCGGCUGACGGAUGGGGCCCACCCGUCAGGUCUUUCCCCUUCCUCCAACCGCCCGCCCAAUCUUCUCUCUCUCAGUUGAAAACCGCCAAGCCGCGCCCCUCUCCCCCACGAUCCUCUCCUCUACCCCGCGCCCAGAUAAGUAGUGGGCUGAGAGCCGCGCGCCUCCUUCUCCUCCCCAGUUCCCCUCCCCUCGCCUCUGCUCCCAACCGUGAGCGCGCAGAGAGAACCGUCGCCGGGUCGCCGGAGAAUUUCGUCGGCCGCACGAAGCCGCUGCUCCGAGCCGUCUUCGUCUUCCUUCUUCGCGUCGGUGAGCGCGCCUCAUCCUCCUCUCCCUCUUUGGCCUUCUCCCGAGCGAGGUGGUGCUCUCUAGGAUCGUCCCCGCAAGCUUCGAAGGUGCCAUCAAUGGCGGCUCCGUCGGUCGCUUUGCGGGGGAGUUUUCGGGUCAUUCCGAGGCCGGGAGCGAGUUCGCCGCGACCUCCUCUCUCUCCCGGUGUAUUUAGUUUCGCGAAACUGAGCGUUGUAGCGUGUUUUUAGGCGUCUCCAGCGAGCUCGGGCCGGUCAGCCAUGGACCGCCGCCGCCUCCUGCUGCAUCUUCGGCGGCCGCGCCCCCUGUUUCUCUCUCUCUUUCUCAUCUUAUAAUCUGAGCCGUGGAUCUCUAAUCCAACGGCCCAAAGUGCUCCAUACCCCUUCGGGGGCAAUCUUGUUAAAGAAUCCCCCAAAAAUAUUGAAAAUUGCACCGUAGUCCUCGGCCAGAGGGAUUUUUUCCAGGAUUUAAUUCAUUUAUUUAAAUUCAUUUAAACUCUGCUUUAUUUACAGAAUUGCCACCGUAUUGUUUUAGCUACAAAAUCGUCGUUUGAACUCUGAAUCGAUCCGUUCAAGUUGCGUUAGUUUCGUAAUUUCAUAAGCUUCGCGUUGGUACCACUGUUGUUUAGGUUUACUACUGUUAGAUUUCCUAGUUAAUUACAAGACCCUAGAUUGCUGUUGAAAUCCCGUUAAAAGCGUAACUUUCGCGUCGUAAGUCCGUUUUCGUGAAUUUCGUGUUGACGUGAUCGUAGCAGCACGUAGAUAAUUUUGGAAAACUUUUAUUUAAUUUAUUUACUGCUGGUGUACUGUUCUAACUUUAGGAAUUGUUCUCUUGCAUGUUUGUCUUGGUAUGUGUUGACGGUCCUUAAUGCUCACAUUUAACCAUCAACUAAUCAUGUAAAAGGAUCCAAAUGCAACCAACACCCAGACUUAGGGUUUUAUCUGACAGAAUUCCACGAGUUUUGGUGUUUGUCUAUUUCUGCAGGGGGUUAUCAGGAAAUACGGAAGAAAGGCCCACACGUCGGUUUUACAUAGAGAUAUUAAUGUGCCGCGCAAUUUUCUAUCAUCUAGAAGACUCCAGAAGCCACAGAAAGGAUGCGGAGGCCGAGAGGACUCAGGGACAGGGUGCCCGCCCUCCUUUCCUGGGCACCCGCCCUCAACCAGAGUCCAAUCAGGACUCUCUUUCGGGAUAUUGCUUCACCGACCUAAAGCAUCAAGGAUAACCGUUCAAUCAAUGUUGGUUUGAUCCAACGGCCCAGAUUCACUUGAAGGGACUAUAAAACCAGACCCCCUGGCCCCUGGAGAUCAUACCUCUUCUACAGAAUCAAAGCUAGGGUUUCAAUUCUUCAUCCAAGUAGAGAGGAUCUCUCUAGUUCUUCUAGUUCUACCUCUAGUUCAUCUAGAUCUAGUUCUAGUUCAUCUAGUUCUAGUUCUAGUUCCUCUAGUUCUAGUUCUAGUUAGUUCUAGUUGUAAUCUAGAAAAUAGGGAGAGAGAAGAGGAGAGCGGAGGAGGAGCCGGAUCUGUCGGAUCUUCCUCAACAUUAUACUUUUGCAGCAUCUGGUUCGUUCUUCAUCGUUCUCUAGGUUCUUCAAUUCAUAAUUCCUGAGUUCUUUAAUUACUUUUAUUUACAUUCAAGUUAUUUAUUGGAUUCCCGCUUGCAUCAAGUACUCUAGUCUUUAUAACGCUAGAGUAGUAAUUAAUAGAUUAGACGUGGUGUUUAGUCUUGCAAUUACCUGGAAUUGCACCCAAUCCAACGGAUUGUUGUGGUAGCCUUAGGGUAGUGACAGCCCUAACGGUCGACAUAUUCCACCACGUUCGGAUCGGUGUUUGUAGGACCGUAGUUAGACCUUCCUAGCCCUCUUCUCAUCUCUUUCUGUGGUUAGUGCUCUGAUGUCCCGAUAUAGAUAAUCUUGAAGUAACUCUUGAUUCUUAGAUCAACUAGAGAACUCUCAGGAAACUUCCUCUCUUCCCACCAAAAAUAAUUAUAUAGUUAUCCUUGGGCGAUCUUGGAUCUUAAUUAGUACACUCACGUUCUCUGUGGAAAAUCGAUACUCUGGAAUACUCCCAGGUGAAGGCUACAUCGGUAUCCGUGCGCUUGCGGAUUUUUCUGUUUGCGUUUAAAAUACCCAACAAGCUUUCUGGCGCCGUUGCCGGGGAAUGGUAGCUAUGCUAGUUUCGAACCAAGUCGUCCGUGUAUCCUUUUUCUUUUCCUUUUUUACCACACUCACCUUACCAUUUUCACCACACCACAUGGAUUUCACUCUAAGCAUUAAUGAGCAUGGAAUUUAUUUCAUAGCCACUUCAUUUACUCCAUGCUCAUAUGCAACAUCUUCCCAAUCCAUUGGUUUUUCCAACAUCACCACAUUCGAGAUCUCCAACCCUCACAGCCUUUCUAUUUAUAAAAACUUUAAAAGGGCGGUUGUCGAUGCAUAUGUCUAUAUUAAAUAUUGCAGAUCUCGUUGAGUUGAUCUUGAUAUAGGUCAGCGUUGGAGGGGAAACCACUUCGCCGACAUAAAUUGAUGGUUUCCCAAGGACAAGCUUAGUGUCCUAAAACAAGCACUGAUCAGCUUGUAACAUGAGCUUUUAAUUAUUUGCAACAUUACCUUGUGUGUUGAGCAUAUAAGGAUAAUUGUAAAAAUAUUCCUUCGGGUAUUCUUGUCACUAACCUUUCUAGGAUUGGAGCAAGAAGAUCGGAUGAAUGACAAGCACAAGGUAUGUCCAACCAAUCAUCAUACAACAUUGAAUUAAAUUCAUCCAAACUUGAAUUUUGCAAAAUUCAAGCUUGGGGGAGUACUUUACAUAAAAACAUCCUUUGCCAUGUUGUUGUGUUGGUUGUCCCUACCUUUGAGACAUGCUCAAUUUGUUAAAUACUAAUCACACUACUUCAUCUCCAUUUGAGAAGAUCUCUAUAAAUGCUCUCAUGCUACCUUUAUUUGCUUUAGUAUAUGUCUAGGUUUGGAGUAGUUUCAUUUAUCUCAUAAUUAAGCAUGGUGCUUAGUUAGGAAUGUUGAUCUUACUUCCAAGGGAGUUUAAAUUAAGCAUGAUGCUUAGGUUAAAAUGCCCUCCUAAAUCAAAUUAGACAUGGUGUCAAGGUUGAUCUUUGAGCCGAUGGUAUGCUAUAGUAGAUAUUGGAUAUUUUGUUGGACUAACCCCUGCAGGAAAACUUUCAAUAUCAACAUGGGAGGUCCUCAGAUAAACUCACAUUGGAGACAAAGAGAGAGACACAUGAAGUUUAACAAUUUACACAAGGAAGGCAUAGCUCACAAGAGAUGAUCCAUGGAGGGUGCUACAAACACGAUGCACAACCACUAAGAAAGGAAAGCUUCCACAAGGUAAUACUGUACCAUCACUCUUCAAGUAAGGUAAUAUCUUAAGGUACUUGACUAUCACUUUUAUAAAGCUUCUCUUUGGUUCUGGCGUUCACAUGAAUAAAAAAGACAAACAUGUAUGAUUUACAACACUAGAUUAACCAACCCAAUCGAUUCAAUAUGUUUAGUCCUUCUACCUUUGUGAGCCCACACUCCUAAUCAUAUGACCUAAAAUGUUGCACACUCAAUCUUUGGAAGAUAUAUUUUAUAAAAAAAACAACAUAAAUAUAGAUAGAUUAUCUUUCCAUUAGGUUGAGCGAUCGGAUCUGACAAAUGUUUUAAAUGCUACACUCAUGAUUUUAUUAUCCAUCAAUUUUGUCUUGCUCACUAUGCUUAAGGUUAGAGAUGAACAAAUACACUUUUGGUUCUGUUGGUGUUUUCCACCAACAGGGCCCAUGCACUUGAUCUCUGCCUUGUUUCUAUGAGCAGGUACACUUCGAGCAAAAUAUGAAGGACUUUUACAACUCCCACACUCCACCAAGUGAAGAACCUAGAUCUACGAGCUCAAACACACUGGGGAUACUGGACACUCAGGCAAUCACUGCCCUGAGAUGCUUGAGGACGUAACUACUGGAGUAACCCCAUUGUGGAAGUAAUUACUGACCUUCUGCCGGUCAAGAGAGACAACCCAGGACGCCCCGUCAUCCCGAUCUCCAUGGGCAUGGUGGACUUCCUAGAAGCACUCUGCGACUUUGGCUCCAGCGUCAACAUUAUGCCCAAGGUACUCUAUGAAAAAAUUGUUUACACAUCCUUUACUAGAAACAACCGUGUGCUUGCAGCCUACAGAUCAGACACUAAGUUUCCCAAAGGGAAUAUUGAAGAACCUCUACGUCUGAGUUGGUACCUUGUACGCCCCAGCAAACUUCAUGGUGAUAGAGACUGGUACUGAUGAGAGGGCACACAUCUUACGGAGGCCAUUCCUGAACACCUCGGGAGCUGUCAUCUACGCUAGUGCUGCCAAGAUCAGUUUCUACAUCAAAGGGAGAAAUGAGACGUUUUCCUUCAAGAACAAGACUACACAAAUCUCAGAGCAUUCCCGACAUGGACCAAGGAAGAGGACCAACAGGAGGAACAGGAACAAGCAAGUGUGGACCGAGUCAGCUAAGAUGGUCACAGCAGUUCAAGGAGGUCAAGAUCAUCUAUUUAAGUCACAAGUUCCUGACCAAAAAGGACGACCCAGGCAUGCCAAGCAUCCAGUGCUCCAUUAAUGGAUACAACUUCCAGAAGACGCUUUGCGACACCGGGUCAGGCAUCAACAUAAUGGCCGCAGUCACCUAUCAACUCCUGUUCGGAACCAUACCCCUAAAACCGACAUACAUUUAGCUCCAGAUGGAAGAUCAGACAUUCCGAAAGGUUGAAGGUUAUUGACAUGGGAGAAGACGAGCACGAUCCACCCAUCAUCCUUGGAAGACCGUUCCUCAGCACUGUUAAAGCAAUCAUCUAGAUUGGAACCAGAGAAGUCCACAUGCACUUCCCCUCUAACAAGGUACGCCGCUACUUUACUGACCUUAAUUAUAUAGUUGAAGACUCUAAGCAGGUCAGGACAAGAAGAAGAUGACGCAACCGUAACCAGAGAAGGCAAAAUCAUCAAGGACGGAUGGGUAGACUAUGAAGGAGAAGUUGUAAGGUCUGAAGACAUACAACUUGAAUAGAACUGUCCUGAGGAGACCGUAGCACCGAGUCAGGUGUGGAGAGAGAAGAUAGUUAUACAUGAAGAGGAGGCGCCGCCGGAACCACCGACUACGCCAUCCAGCGAAUCCCAGGACGAAUGAGAAAAACGGAGAGUCCCGUUCGGAGGACGUCAAAACACCGAACGCCUUGCCAAAAGGUAAACUUGAUAGUUAUCUUUUUCCUUUCAAUUAUUUAAAAUAGUUUGGUUAGUUAAUCAGGUUCAUAUCAUCUUGAAAAGAAAAUAAAAAUGUUGAAAAUAGUAAGCCCCAUGUGAGUAUGCUCAUGACAUAAAACCCAUAAGUACAUUCACGGUGGUGGUGUAAAAAUGAAAUAAAUAUAUUCCUGUCCUAUAAAAAUAAAAAUACAAAAAUAAAUUUAUGAUCCUACUAAAGAUAGUAACAUUUAUUGAGGAGGCUCAACAUGAUAAAGGCUAGAUUUUAUGCUAACACUUAACCAGUUCCACAAAGCUUUGUUGUCUAUUUGAGCUCCACAGAAUUCAAGGAUCAAAGAAGACUAGCAGACGGAGGACAUCCUAAUCACUGUCACGUUGCUGCUGACAUUCAAAUACACCUCCACCACUUGCUAGCUACAUCAGAAGGAAUUAUGUCAAAAUCCAGCUUGGGGGAGAGCACCCCCAUUUAUCCAGCUAAGUGUUCUACUCAUGUAUAUAUUUUACUCAAAUAAUAAAAAGAUGCAUAAUCAUAAAAACCCAAAUAAAGAUUUUGUGCUUAUAUAUAUAUCUCUCUUCUUAGUUUGCUAAAUAAAUAAAUAAAUAAAUAAAGUUUGCUAUGAACCCUCAUGAUAAGCUCUCACAUGGAAAAGAUGAAUAGUUGCUCUACCAUGACUAGUUCUUAAAAUUGAAAUCUCUCUCAAGUUUAGGCAUGACUGGUAUUAAUUAAGAUUUGCUCAAAACCUGAACUUGUGGGGAGAGUACUUGAUCUAAAGUCUAAGUCGUUAACGGAUAUGAUAUGGGAAAGUUGAGCUGCUGUUUAUCUAUUCCUAGAGAUGCUAGAAUUUUGGAGAAUUUUAUCUUUGAAAAUCUUUAAAAUAUCACAUGAUGAGUUCCUGUAUGAUGAGAGUUUAAAUUCCUACCACAGCCAUAUAUACAUGCUUGCUAGACUUUGAGCCACACAUUUACUUUUUACUGCUUAUGAGCAUUGAGUGUGGUCAAGCUGUGUAGACCCUUAGGAGCCUGUCAUGUGGUUAAAUCAAGAUUCACUUGCACGUUCACUCAGACAUGCUGCUUCUACUCUGGAAGUACGCAUCCACAUAUAUCCACCCAUUUCCAUCUCCAGAAUCACCUAAAAAUAUUCUACUCCUAAUCUGGGAGAGAAUAGCCAAAAACAUUUUUGUUUUUCACUGUGAAAUAAAUGCUCAAGUUAUCCUUGUUACUACCACUUGCUAUAUUAUUUCAGGAGAUGAGUGCUCUAAAAAAAAGAAAAAAAAGUAUACGAGGAAAUAAAAAGGGGCAAGUGCCCGGAACCUCAAAAGAAAAGAAAAAGUGAGACGAGAGGUAAAAAUGGACAAGUGUCCGACAGUAGAAUUAGGGGUACAAGAUACCCACCUGAGAGAAAAGAAAAAAGAAAAUAUAGAGCAUCUCAUUCUCCUCAAAAAGUUUCAAAAGAGCAAGAAAGGUAUGUAUCCCCUCAAAAGAGCACAAGUAGAAUUAGACUUUCACCAUUGUUAUCACCAUUACUUUCACCAUUAUCACCAUUCAUUCGCCACACAUGCACAUCUUGAUUUGACUUAUUGACUUGUUCUUCUGGAUCCAUGGUUUGACUAUGCAAUAAAUGUCUUGUAAGUAUGUAUUAGCUGUCUCCCACCUAUGAGCUCCAGAUAUCAAAACCUUAUUAGAGUAGGGUGAGAGAGAAGGCAAUGCCACUAUGCCUCAUACCAAAAAUACCACAUACUUUGAGAGAAGGCAUACACCAUCACUGCCUUGGUAAGGAUCCAGAAAUACCACAAAAGAGAGACUAGAGAGAGUCGUACAAGGAAUCUCUGAGUUUUAUUUGAAAAUCUGCAAAAACUCUAGAGCUAUAUUUAAUCGAAGAACAAGAGACAUGGCGCUUGACUAGACCGUUCUAUCUUUUAACUACUCAAGACACAAGUGACGGUUGCAAGCCCCAUGGUGGAAGGUAAAAUGAGUAAGUUUAAAUCUUAACAGUUUACCCUAACCCAGAGAUGAGAUCUUGUUUAAACGCAUGUGUAUCUUUAAGGUAUGAAACCAAUGUAGAAACUCUUGAGUUCAUCUUUGCUCAGGGACGAGCAAAGGUUAAGCUUGGGGGAGCUUGUUGACGGUCCUUAAUGCUCACAUUUAACCAUCAACUAAUCAUGUAAAAGGAUCCAAAUGCAACCAACACCCAGACUUAGGGUUUUAUCUGACAAAAUUCCACGAGUUUUGGUGUUUGUCUAUUUCUACAGGGGGUUAUCAGGAAAUACAGAAGAAAGGCCCACACGUCGGGUUUACAUAGAGAUAUUAACGUACCACGCAAUUUUCUAUCAUCUAGAAGACUCCAGAAGCCACAGGAAGGAAGCGGAGGCCGAGAGGACUCAGGGACAGGGCGCCCGCCCUCCUUUCCUGGGCGCCCGCCCUCAACCAGAGUCCAAUCAGGACUCUCUUUCGGGAUAUUGCUCCACCGACCUAAAGGAUCAAGGAUAACCGUUCAAUCAAUGUCGGUUUGAUCCAACGGCCCAGAUUCACUUGAAGGGACUAUAAAACCAGACCCCCUGGCCCCUGGAGAUCAUACCUCUUCUACAGAAUCAAAGCUAGGGUUUAGGGUUUAGGAUCCCUCUAGUUCUUCUAGUUCUACCUCUAGUUCAUCUAGAUCUAGUUCUAGUUCAUCUAGUUCUAGUUCUAGUUCCUCUAGUUCUAGUUCUAGUUAGUUCUAGUUGUAAUCUUGAAAAUAGGGAG
rnacentral:lncRNA from 1 species